rnacentral:tRNA from 1 species
CACCAUAUAGCUCAGUUGGUAGAGCAUCUAACUUGAGAUUCAGGGGGCUUGGGUUCAAAUCCUGGUCUAGUCU